AUUGAACGCUGGCGGCAUGCUUUACACAUGCAAGUCGGACGGCAGCACAGAGAAGCUUGCUUCUGGGGGGGCGAGUGGCGAACGGGUGAGUAAUAUAUCGGAACGUACCGAGUAAUGGGGGAUAACUAAUCGAAAGAUUAGCUAAUACCGCAUAUUCUCUGAGGAGGAAAGCAGGGGACCUUCGGGCCUUGCGUUAUUCGAGCGGCCGAUAUCUGAUUAGCUAGUUGGUGGGGUAAAGGCCUACCAAGGCGACGAUCAGUAGCGGGUCUGAGAGGAUGAUCCGCCACACUGGGACUGAGACACGGCCCAGACUCCUACGGGAGGCAGCAGUGGGGAAUUUUGGACAAUGGGCGCAAGCCUGAUCCAGCCAUGCCGCGUGUCUGAAGAAGGCCUUCGGGUUGUAAAGGACUUUUGUCAGGGAAGAAAAGGCUGUUGCUAAUAUCAAUAGCUGAUGACGGUACCUGAAGAAUAAGCACCGGCUAACUACGUG
rnacentral:rRNA from 1 species